rnacentral:rRNA from 1 species
UUAAGCGACUAAGCGUACACGGUGGAUGCCCUGGCAGUCAGAGGCGAUGAAGGACGUGCUAAUCUGCGAUAAGCGUCGGUAAGGUGAUAUGAACCGUUAUAACCGGCGAUUUCCGAAUGGGGAAACCCAGUGUGUUUCGACACACUAUCAUUAACUGAAUCCAUAGGUUAAUGAGGCGAACCGGGGGAACUGAAACAUCUAAGUACCCCGAGGAAAAGAAAUCAACCGAGAUUCCCCCAGUAGCGGCGAGCGAACGGGGAGCAGCCCAGAGCCUGAAUCAGUGUGUGUGUUAGUGGAAGCGUCUGGAAAGGCGCGCGAUACAGGGUGACAGCCCCGUACACAAAAAUGCACAUACUGUGAGCUCGAUGAGUAGGGCGGGACACGUGGUAUCCUGUCUGAAUAUGGGGGGACCAUCCUCCAAGGCUAAAUACUCCUGACUGACCGAUAGUGAACCAGUACCGUGAGGGAAAGGCGAAAAGAACCCCGGCGAGGGGAGUGAAAAAGAACCUGAAACCGUGUACGUACAAGCAGUGGGAGCACGCUUAGGCGUGUGACUGCGUACCUUUUGUAUAAUGGGUCAGCGACUUAUAUUCUGUAGCAAGGUUAACCGAAUAGGGGAGCCGAAGGGAAACCGAGUCUUAACUGGGCGUUAAGUUGCAGGGUAUAGACCCGAAACCCGGUGAUCUAGCCAUGGGCAGGUUGAAGGUUGGGUAACACUAACUGGAGGACCGAACCGACUAAUGUUGAAAAAUUAGCGGAUGACUUGUGGCUGGGGGUGAAAGGCCAAUCAAACCGGGAGAUAGCUGGUUCUCCCCGAAAGCUAUUUAGGUAGCGCCUCGUGAAUUCAUCUCCGGGGGUAGAGCACUGUUUCGGCAAGGGGGUCAUCCCGACUUACCAACCCGAUGCAAACUGCGAAUACCGGAGAAUGUUAUCACGGGAGACACACGGCGGGUGCUAACGUCCGUCGUGAAGAGGGAAACAACCCAGACCGCCAGCUAAGGUCCCAAAGUCAUGGUUAAGUGGGAAACGAUGUGGGAAGGCCCAGACAGCCAGGAUGUUGGCUUAGAAGCAGCCAUCAUUUAAAGAAAGCGUAAUAGCUCACUGGUCGAGUCGGCCUGCGCGGAAGAUGUAACGGGGCUAAACCAUGCACCGAAGCUGCGGCAGCGACGCUUAUGCGUUGUUGGGUAGGGGAGCGUUCUGUAAGCCUGUGAAGGUGUGCUGUGAGGCAUGCUGGAGGUAUCAGAAGUGCGAAUGCUGACAUAAGUAACGAUAAAGCGGGUGAAAAGCCCGCUCGCCGGAAGACCAAGGGUUCCUGUCCAACGUUAAUCGGGGCAGGGUGAGUCGACCCCUAAGGCGAGGCCGAAAGGCGUAGUCGAUGGGAAACAGGUUAAUAUUCCUGUACUUGGUGUUACUGCGAAGGGGGGACGGAGAAGGCUAUGUUGGCCGGGCGACGGUUGUCCCGGUUUAAGCGUGUAGGCUGGUUUUCCAGGCAAAUCCGGAAAAUCAAGGCUGAGGCGUGAUGACGAGGCACUACGGUGCUGAAGCAACAAAUGCCCUGCUUCCAGGAAAAGCCUCUAAGCAUCAGGUAACAUCAAAUCGUACCCCAAACCGACACAGGUGGUCAGGUAGAGAAUACCAAGGCGCUUGAGAGAACUCGGGUGAAGGAACUAGGCAAAAUGGUGCCGUAACUUCGGGAGAAGGCACGCUGAUAUGUAGGUGAAGCGACUUGCUCGUGGAGCUGAAAUCAGUCGAAGAUACCAGCUGGCUGCAACUGUUUAUUAAAAACACAGCACUGUGCAAACACGAAAGUGGACGUAUACGGUGUGACGCCUGCCCGGUGCCGGAAGGUUAAUUGAUGGGGUCAGCGCAAGCGAAGCUCUUGAUCGAAGCCCCGGUAAACGGCGGCCGUAACUAUAACGGUCCUAAGGUAGCGAAAUUCCUUGUCGGGUAAGUUCCGACCUGCACGAAUGGCGUAAUGAUGGCCAGGCUGUCUCCACCCGAGACUCAGUGAAAUUGAACUCGCUGUGAAGAUGCAGUGUACCCGCGGCAAGACGGAAAGACCCCGUGAACCUUUACUAUAGCUUGACACUGAACAUUGAGCCUUGAUGUGUAGGAUAGGUGGGAGGCUUAGAAGUGUGGACGCCAGUCUGCAUGGAGCCGACCUUGAAAUACCACCCUUUAAUGUUUGAUGUUCUAACGUUGACCCGUAAUCCGGGUUGCGGACAGUGUCUGGUGGGUAGUUUGACUGGGGCGGUCUCCUCCUAAAGAGUAACGGAGGAGCACGAAGGUUGGCUAAUCCUGGUCGGACAUCAGGAGGUUAGUGCAAUGGCAUAAGCCAGCUUGACUGCGAGCGUGACGGCGCGAGCAGGUGCGAAAGCAGGUCAUAGUGAUCCGGUGGUUCUGAAUGGAAGGGCCAUCGCUCAACGGAUAAAAGGUACUCCGGGGAUAACAGGCUGAUACCGCCCAAGAGUUCAUAUCGACGGCGGUGUUUGGCACCUCGAUGUCGGCUCAUCACAUCCUGGGGCUGAAGUAGGUCCCAAGGGUAUGGCUGUUCGCCAUUUAAAGUGGUACGCGAGCUGGGUUUAGAACGUCGUGAGACAGUUCGGUCCCUAUCUGCCGUGGGCGCUGGAGAACUGAGGGGGGCUGCUCCUAGUACGAGAGGACCGGAGUGGACGCAUCACUGGUGUUCGGGUUGUCAUGCCAAUGGCACUGCCCGGUAGCUAAAUGCGGAAGAGAUAAGUGCUGAAAGCAUCUAAGCACGAAACUUGCCCCGAGAUGAGUUCUCCCUGACCCUUUAAGGGUCCUGAAGGAACGUUGAAGACGACGACGUUGAUAGGCCGGGUGUGUAAGCGCAGCGAUGCGUUGAGCUAACCGGUACUAAUGAACCGUGAGGCUUAACCUU